AUUGAACGCUGGCGGCAGGCCUAACACAUGCAAGUCGAACGGUAACAGGAAGAAGCUUGCUUCUUUGCUGACGAGUGGCGGACGGGUGAGUAAUGUCUGGGAAACUGCCUGAUGGAGGGGGAUAACUACUGGAAACGGUAGCUAAUACCGCAUAACGUCGCAAGACCAAAGAGGGGGACCUUCGGGCCUCUUGCCAUCGGAUGUGCCCAGAUGGGAUUAGCUAGUAGGUGGGGUAACGGCUCACCUAGGCGACGAUCCCUAGCUGGUCUGAGAGGAUGACCAGCCACACUGGAACUGAGACACGGUCCAGACUCCUACGGGAGGCAGCAGUGGGGAAUAUUGCACAAUGGGCGCAAGCCUGAUGCAGCCAUGCCGCGUAUAUGAAGAAGGCCUUCGGGUUUUAAAGUACUUUCAGCGGGGAGGAAGGGAGUAAAGUUAAUACCUUUGCUCAUUGACGUUACCCGCAGAAGAAGCACCGGCUAACUCCGUG
rnacentral:rRNA from 1 species